GGGGAACAGAUGAGCAGGGCCCACUAAAACUUUUGCACAUAUGGGUGAAAAUGGGAUGACAAUACUUAUUUAUCCAUACUAUUCUACUUUAAAUAACUCAUUAAAAUGCUAAGGAUACAGUAUACACAUAAUCUGAACAUAAAAACCUAACUUGCACCUUUUACUCCUUUUCUUCCCAUUCAAACAAGAGGGGUGAAACUAAUUUACACCCUCUCUUGUUCUCUCCCUCCAUUUUCACCCCUGCACUUCUCUUUCCUCAAACAUAGUUUUAGGUAUGUUAUUUGUCAAAUUUUUUAAUUUCAUGCUGGUGAAUACCUAAAUAUUAUGUGGUUUGAACAGCAUCACUAUCUUUUGGGAAAUCAGUAUAUGCUCACAUGUGAAAGAACAUUUUUGUUUCUAAAAUGCAAUCAUGAUUGUAGUGUAAAAGUCAUUUUCUCUCUCACCCUCUCUGUGAUUUCAAUAGUAGUUUAUUUUUUAUAAGUCGUACCUGAAUGAACUCACUUCCAUUGUAAGUUCAUUGAGAUUUAGUUGAGCUGGUUUGGUUUUUAAUGAACUUGCUGCUAUAGUAAAUUAAUAUGACUGCCUGACUUAUUUUCUUUAUUCUGGCUCCUUUUUUGGUGCCCUUAAACAGUUAGCAGAUGCAAG
rnacentral:misc_RNA from 1 species